rnacentral:rRNA from 1 species
AGAGUUUGAUCAUGGCUCAGAUUGAACGCUGGCGGCAUGCCUUACACAUGCAAGUCGAACGCGAAAGCGGGGCAACCCGCAAGUAGAGUGGCGAACGGGUGAGUAAUACAUCGGAACAUAUCCAGUAGCGGGGGACAACCUGUCGAAAGAUAGGCUAAUACCGCAUACGACCUACGGGUGAAAGCGGAGGACCGCAAGGCUUCGCACUAUUGGAGUGGCCGAUGUCGGAUUAGCUAGUUGGUGAGGUAAAAGCUCACCAAGGCGACGAUCCGUAGCUGGUCUGAGAGGACGACCAGCCACACUGGAACUGAGACACGGUCCAGACUCCUACGGGAGGCAGCAGUGGGGAAUUUUGGACAAUGGGCGCAAGCCUGAUCCAGCCAUGCCGCGUGAGUGAAGAAGGCCUUCGGGUUGUAAAGCUCUUUCGGUGGGGAAGAAAUGGUACGUGCUAAUACCACGGACUGAUGACGGUACCCGAAGAAGAAGCCCCGCCAUCGCU